AGUCUUCUCUAGCUAUAGAGAGAGAUGAGCCUGGCUGCUGGGGAGUAUAUCAGGGUACCUGAGGUGAAGCAGGGCUGGGGAAGGCCAGGGGAGCUGGGAGGCUCCAGGCUGGAAAAGUGCAGGCCUGGCAGAUGGCCUAAGACAAGUGGUUCCCAAGCAGUGUGGGCCGAGGGACAUACUGGCCGCCCCCAGCAGCUCCCACUGGCCUGGAACAGCGAACCGCAGCCAGUGGGAGCCGCAAUUGGCUGAACCUGCGGACGCGGAAGGUCACAAGGAAGUUUGUUGAGGUUUCGACUGUGAUGACAUUUUUGUGACCCAUGUUGUGACCCCAUCUUGCCAGAAGCUUCCAUAUUUUCUUGCUUGAGAAUAAGGUAUGCAAUGCAUUUCCAAUCAGAGGUCUACCGUUGCUGACUUCAUGGUGAAAAAAAGAGGUGACAUUCCAGAACUGUCUGUGCAAAUUUAUGCACUGCUACUGGUCAGAAAGACCACUCCACUUAUGAUCCAUAUUUCCAUUUCUUUCUUUGAGUGUAAAGACUAAUUUUCCACACUCUUAACUAAGAAUAAAAUGUUAAUUGACUUUGAAUUGUCAAAUAAAAUAUUUCUCUAAGAAUCUGCUUGUGGGAUGCACAAAACCAAUAUCUUAAAAUCUUGAUAUGAGAAACACAUUGAAGUCGCAUUUAAAUGUAUGUUAUUAAAUACUUUGGGCUUUGAUCCUCUGAUGCCUUGCACCUUUUACAGUCCUCUACACAUAUGCAAAGUAAAUUCAAAGUCCCACCAAACCAUAAUGGCAGUAUUUUACACCUCUUUUCAAUAGGGGUAAAUGACCACACAAAGUGCAAAGCAGUGAAGAAUUUUCUCUAAUAAUCAAUAUGAAACCAUAACUUUAAUGCUCCAGCCAAUCCUCUCUACUGCAAUCUUCUGUGGGACUAGAUUCUGUUAUUGAAGUGAAUAGGAGCUUUACCAUUGAUUUCAAUAGGACCAAAUUUUUACCCUUAAUAUCUCUGUACCUCUGUGUAGAAAGAGAAUGACUCACCUCACAGGGAUGUUGAAAGGCUCAAUUAUUUUGUGUUCAUAAAGAUCAUUGAGAUACUCUGAUAAAAAGACCAUAAGGAUAUAGGUGCAAGGAUUUAUGAUUGGAGUAGAAUAUUAGAGUUUUGUGAAUUCUUGUUUAAGUUUUGACACUAAAUAAAACUAAAAUGUGUCUAGAUAAUUUGCAAAGGAAUUGGGUGUCGCACUAGCCAACAAUUUCUUUUAUGAAUACUUUAGAAUUGAAAAAAAAAUAAACUUGACAAGUUUAUAGAUUUUCCAGAAUUGCCAUUGCAGGAGAAGAUCAAAAUAUAUACCAAAUUGCAAUAUAACAGCUAGAUACUCACACCAUCUCAAGCUUCUUUCAGGUUAUUCACAGGGUGAGACAGAAAGAUCAACAUGGUGGUUGAUUUCACAGUGACUUAAAAUAUUUCAAACAUUUCUGGUAAUCAGUUCAAAGUUAAUGAGCCUGGCCUGUGCUGAUUGUAUGCAUAGCUAAGUUAGACAGGCAAAUUUGAAUUCUGACCUUGACCUUAACAGGGCUAGUGAGGGAUAUAAGGGAGUACUGUGGAUUUCAGAAGAAGGCCAAACCUUGUGUUGUUCUGAUAGAUAGCUUAUGAGCAAUACUGAUGAUCUCUGAAGCACAAGUGGUCAAGGUUUCCUGAUCAAGGGAACAGAUACAAUAAGGUAUGGCCUGUUUGUAGUGAACUGGGGAUUGAUAGGGGAUUGAUUCAGCUGGCCUUUCAAAGAGAAACAUCUAAAUAUCUUUCUGUAUGUUUACAUCAUAAAUAAUUUUUUUUAAAUAAA